AACGAACGCUGGCAGCGUGGAUUAGGCAUGCAAGUCGAACGUGAAGCCGCUGAUCAAUCUUCGGAGAGUGAAGCGGUGGAAAGUGGCGAAAGGGUGAGUAACGCGUGGGUAACCUGCCCUUGAGUUGGGGACAACCCAGGGAAACUUGGGCUAAUACCGAAUGUGGUCUCCCGAUGCAUAUCGGGAUGACUAAAGGUGGGGAUUCUUAGGAACCUGCCGCUCGAGGAGGGGCCCGCGUCCCAUCAGUUUGUUGGUAGGGUAACGGCCUACCAAGGCUUACGGGUAGCUGGUCUGAGAGGAUGGUCAGCCACACUGGGACUGAGACACUGCCCAGACUCCUACGGGAGGCUGCAGUCGAGGAUCAUUCACAAUGCGCGAAAGCGUGAUGAUGCGACGCUGCGUGGAGGAUGAAGGCCUUCGGGUUGUAAACUCCUGUCAUGAGGGAAAAGCCGUCCGGCCGUUAAUACCGGUUGGACCCGAUGGUACCUCAAGAGGAAGCCACGGCUAACUCUGUGCCAGCCGCCGCGGUAACAC
rnacentral:rRNA from 1 species